GAAGUGGGUAGUCCGCACGAGCGCACCUUGUCCUAUGUUGCCAGCGGAUAUGCCGGGGACUCGUAGGAGACUGCCGGGGUCAACUCGGAGGAAGGUGGGGACGACGUCAAGUCAUCAUGCCCCUUAUAUCCAGGGCUGCAAACAUGCUACAAUGGCCGGUACAGAGGGCUGCAAAACCGUGAGGUUGAGCGAAUCCCACAAAGCCGGUCUCAGUUCGGAUUGGAGUCUGCAACUCGACUCCAUGAAGGUGGAGUCGCUAGUAAUCCCGGAUCAGCAACGCCGGGGUGAAUACGUUCCCGGGCCUUGUACACACCGCCCGUCACACCACGAAAGUCAGCAACACCCGAAGUCAGUGGCCUAACUCUUAGGAGAAGGAGCUGCCGAAGGUGGGGUCGGCGAUUGGGGUGAAGUCGUAACAAGGUAGCCGUACCGGAAGGUGCGGCUGGAUCACCUCCUUUCU
rnacentral:rRNA from 1 species